GAUGAACGCUGGCGGCGUGCCUAAUACAUGCAAGUCGAGCGAAUGGAUUAAGAGCUUGCUCUUAUGAAGUUAGCGGCGGACGGGUGAGUAACACGUGGGUAACCUGCCCAUAAGACUGGGAUAACUCCGGGAAACCGGGGCUAAUACCGGAUAACAUUUUGAACCGCAUGGUUCGAAAUUGAAAGGCGGCUUCGGCUGUCACUUAUGGAUGGACCCGCGUCGCAUUAGCUAGUUGGUGAGGUAACGGCUCACCAAGGCAACGAUGCGUAGCCGACCGGAGAGGAGGAUCGGCCACACUGGGACUGCAACACGGCCCAGACUCCUACGGGAGGCAGCAGUAGGGAAUCUUCCGCAAUGGACGAAAGUCUGACGGAGCAACGCCGCGUGAGUGAUGAAGGCUUUCGGGUCGUAAAACUCUGUUGUUAGGGAAGAACAAGUGCUAGUUGAAUAAGCUGGCACCUUGACGGUACCUAACCAGAAAGCCACGGCUAACUACGUGCCAGCCGCCGCCGUAA
rnacentral:rRNA from 1 species